UAUUUCUUUCUUGGUGUAUGGACUCUAUAAUUAUUUCGCUGAUAUUAUUUUCCAAUCAUUAAUUUAUGUUCAUGUGUUGAUAAUCAGUUAAAACACAUUGUAGAAGCCUAUCUGGUUGAGUCCAGUGGUUCCGCGAAGGAUUUAUUCCGCCAUUUGAAGAACGUUUGAGCAAUGGAAUAACCACAGCUUCUUGGUUCUUUAGGACAGCAGCGAUGUUUGUAGGAAUGGGAGAAAUUGCAGGAAUCAAAGAGUAUGAGUGGCUUCAUAGUAUCCAAAGGUCGUUGAAGCUUCAUAUAAAAUUUAUCGUCUGCAGGCGGACAUCGUAUCCCACCUUGUAUAACUGUUUGAGCAAGAGAGAGGACAUGUAGCCCCUGUUGUGGAAAGCUAUAUGCAUGAAUAUGGAGUCUCCAGAGAGGAAACGCUUGAGAGGUUAAAGAUUAUGAUAAGUGAUGCUUGGAAGGAUAUAAAUGAAGACUGGAUGAAACCAACAGCCGUCUCAACGCAUAUAUUGCUUAGACCUAUCAAUAUUCCACGCUUAAUGAAUCUCUUAUAUGAUAAACAGGAUGGAGUCUCAUUUCCAGAGUCUUGCAAGGAUAAAAUCAUCGCACUCUACGUUGAUCCAAUAUCCAUUUGAUUCUUCCAAGGUGUAUGUGAUUGAUUCAAUCGAUAAAAAAUGUGUAUAUCCAAUAAAUUCUUGUUUUAUCAUGCUAUUGAUCAGUCUUGGUUAUUAGUGCCCUGAAAUCAAUAAAGCAGGCAUGCGUUAUUGUUAUUUUUGUUA